AACUUUAGCUCUGUACUCGCGANAUGCAUCUAGAUUAGAGUUUGAUCAUGGCUCAGAUUGAACGCUGGCGGCAGGCCUAACACAUGCAAGUCGAGCGGACUGACCGGGAAGCAUUGCUCCUUAGUUCAGCGGCGGACGGGUGAGGUAAGUGCCGGUAGGAAUCAUGCCUGGUGUAGCUGGGGGAACAAGCGAUUUCNGAGAUGAGGAACGGUCGUAGAGUACCNGCANUUACGGUCGCUAGCGUGGAGAAUGAGGCAGUGGGGGAACCGUUCGAGGGCCUUUUGGCGNCUUANGUCAGGUGAUUUGUAUGGACCCCGUUAGGAGGGUGCUUCCGCAGUGAUGGAAAUGGNUUUUUAUUGCGCCUGUUNAGUGGUGAGANUUAUUUGCAUGGGUAGUUUGGUAUGUGGCUAUAUCUAGAGGGAUUNUGGGUAGUGUGNUGNAUUUUAUAAUAAGAAANACNAUUGGAUGGGUGCUAGUUUUUCCACAAAUGUCGUAGUCCGUAACUAUUAUUUGGUCUUGGCUAGUUCCAUUGCGNUGUAAAUGUACACAUCGUGUGAAAAUGGUGGUUUUCCCCUGCCCCUGUGGGGGAGUGUAUAUAUAAUAGUAGUGGCCCCUACGCAGUUUUUAGGUCGUCGUCGGNUAAGUAANUAUUUACCCCCACNAUUANUUUUGUAGGAGAGGAUGUAGUAAAAAAAAUUCUCGUNGGUGAGNGUUCNUAANAAAUAGUAUGANCGGAGUCGCGUAGUAAGUACGGUAGGGGGUUGAUGGAUUUAUNAUAGAAAGNCAGGUACUCUAUUAUAUNUGNUGGUGGGGAGGGNAAAGUUAUUAAAUCAGNAGUGCCGGGUGUNUUUNU
rnacentral:rRNA from 1 species